rnacentral:rRNA from 1 species
CAAUAGCGUAUAUUAAUGUUGUUGCAGUUAAAAAGCUCGUAGUUGGAUUUCUGAUGGGAGCCCUGGUCACUCUAACGAGUGUACUGAUGUGGCGUCCUGUCGUUUCAUGGGGAUGCUUGCUGGUAUUAAGUUAUCGGCUUGUGGAUCCAUGUCGUUUACUGUGAAAAAAUUAGAGUGUUCAAAGCAGGCCAUCGCUGUGAAUACAUUAGCAUGGAAUAAUAAGAUAGGACUGUGGUGCUAUUUUGUUGGUUUGCGUACUACGGUAAUGAUUAAUAGGGAUAGUUGGGGGUAUUCAUAUUCAAUUGUCAGAGGUGAAAUUCUUGGAUUUAUGGAAGAUGAACUACUGUGAAAGCAUUUACCAAGGAUGUUUUCAUUAA